GACGAACGCUGGCGGCGUGCUUAACACAUGCAAGUCGAACGGAAAGGCCCUGCUUGCUGGGUCCUCGAGUGGCGAACGGGUGAGUAACACGCGUGUGAUCUGCCCUGCACUUCGGGAUAGGCCUUGAAAACGGGGUCUAAUACCGGAUAGAGGCCAUUUUGAGUGUGAUGGUUGGAAAGUUUUUUCGGUGUAGGAUGAGCGCGCGGCCUAUCAGCUUGUUGGUGGGGUAAUGGUCUACCAAGGCGGCGGCGGGUAGCCGGCCUGGGAGGGUGGGCGGGAACAGCGAGACUGAGACACGGCCACGACCCAGACGCGUGGGAGAAGCGGCGAAGAUGAAUAUAGGGGAGCAGGCCUGAUGCAGCGCCGCCGAGGCGGGGUGGGUGAUGUAGGGGUUGGAGUUGUCUUUCGCUAGGGACGAAGAUUUUUGUGACAGUACCUAGAGAAGAAGCACCGGCUAACUACGUG
rnacentral:rRNA from 1 species